AUUGAACGCUGGCGGCAUGCCUUACACAUGCAAGUCGAACAGCAGCACGGGAGCAAUCCUGGUGGCGAGUGGCGAACGGGUGAGUAAUAUAUCGGAACGUGCCCAGUAGUGGGGGAUAACUGCUCGCAAGAGCAGCUAAUACCGCAUACGACCUGCAGGUGAAAGGGGGGGAUCGCAAGACCUCUCGCUAUUGGAGCGGCCGAAAACAGAUUAGCUAGUUGGUGGGGUAAAGGCCUACCAAGGCAACGAUCUCGUAGUUGGUCGGAGAAGACGACCAGCCACACUGGGACUGAGACACGGCCCAGACUCCUACGGGAGGCAGCAGUGGGGAAUUUUGGACAAUGGGCGCAAGCCUGAUCCAGCAAUGCCGCGUGCAGGAAGAAGGCCUUCGGGUUGUAAACUGCUUUUGUCAGGGAAGAAAUCCUCUAGGUUAAUACCCUUGGGGGGAUGACGGUACCUGAAGAAUAAGCACCGGCUAACUACGUGCCAGCCGCCGCGGUAAAAC
rnacentral:rRNA from 1 species